UACGGGGGGAGCAAGCGUUGUUCGGAUUUACUGGGCGUAAAGGGCGCGUAGGCGGCGCAACAAGUCACUUGUGAAAUCUCCGGGCUUAACCCGGAGCGGCCAAGUGAUACUGUCGUGCUAGAGUGCGGAAGGGGCUACUGGAAUUCUCGGUGUAGCGGUGAAAUGCGUAGAUAUCGAGAGGAACACCUGCGGCGAAGGCGGGUAGCUGGGCCGACACUGACGCUGAGGCGCGAAAGCCAGGGGAGCGAUCGGG
rnacentral:rRNA from 1 species